rfam:Schistosoma rodhaini strain Burundi genome assembly, scaffold: SROB_scaffold0001353
AUCCAGCUUACGAGUCCAGAUGGGACAAAACGCACGUCCUGGAU